rnacentral:rRNA from 1 species
UACAGAGACUGCGAGCGUUAUUCGGAUUCACUGGGCGUAAAGGGUGCGCAGGCGGCCAAGUGUGUGAGGCGUGAAAGCCCGGGGCUUAACCCCGGAAUUGCACCUCAAACUACAUGGCUAGAGCAUUGGAGAGGGUAGCAGAAUUCACGGUGUAGCAGUGAAAUGCGUAGAUAUCGUGAGGAAUACCAGAGGCGAAGGCGGCUGACUGGACAAGUGCUGACGCUCAGGCACGAAAGCGUGGGGAGCAAAAGGG